GGGAAAGAGGAGGAGCCCCGUCGGCCACAGAACUAGGCAAAAGGGUGGAGGGUGGGCAGAGGCAGCAGCAGGCAGGAAAUACGGCGCUCCGGAACAAAGGUCUUCAAAAGCUACUUAUGAACAUACUCAGGAGGCUUCAUAACGCUGACGCUUUGGACAUAGAAAGGGAGACGUGGAUAAUGUGCAACAUGUUGUGGCUUGGUUUGAAUAAAAAUCACUACUGUUAAUGAACUGACAGUGCAGUGCACUUGAGGGAGUCCAAAGGUAGCAUUGCACAGCGGCAUCUAGCGAUCUGUGCAGAAACAAAAGUCAUUCUGCCAAGACACACAUCAAGCAGACCAAUUAACAGCCUGAACAGGUUUGUACCUGUUUUUGAAGAAGUGGGAGUUUUGUGACAGGAUUUCAUUAGAAAAUAUUGUGCCCCUGAAGAAGGCUUUUACAGCACCGUGGGACUUUGGUCUCCUCUUUUGCAUCUGGACUGGGUGCUUCUCAUUUUUCUUCAUUUCCUGACUUCAUAGAGCCAGCCAAAUACAUAACAUAUUUUACAUAUACUGACAUCCUCAAAAUACAUAACUGCCACAUUUUCCUCAUUUGAAUGGUGUUGAAUGCAAGGUUUUGACUAGUGCAUAAAAUACUGCUGGCAUCUAAGAGCUAGUGUGUUAAGAUAAUAAUUAAUCGUUGUUUCCACACUGCAACACACUCCAUUAUCUUUUUGUCAAAUGCAUGAACACUGAAAACCCAAGUCUUAAAUGUAUUCAAUAAUCACCUUCAAUUGAAAAAAAUCUUUCAAGCCAAUUGAAUCUUUAAUGUAUUAAGUGGUUUCAGGGUUAGGGUUAUGAAUUCCCCACUCUCUAAAAAUAUAAAAAUAAAUAAAAAUAAAUACUGAGAUACAAUUGUUGGAUUGGCAGCAUCCGCUCUCAGCUGCAAUGGCUCAUAGUACCCACUGGUGGUGGUGGUGGUGGGUGGGGAAGGGUCAUGGAUAAAAGUGCUGGACUCCCCCCUCCCUUUUUUUCUUCCAGUGUUAGUCUCCAUUUUGUCUCUUCAGAGAUGGCUGUGUGUUUUGGUCUCUCUUUUCAGCCAUGAGCUACAGCUUUUUAACAUUUGUUUGUAACCUUUUCUUCUAAAUAAAUCAUUGUUGUU